UAUUACACACUUGAUCUCAGUGGUUUACUUAUUACAAAGUUGGUCCUAGUGGUUGCAAAUUUUGCACUCGGGUGAUCCUUAUUACUAAUCCAUGUUUUUUUAGUUAAAUGUAUACGAAAUGACUAGAUUGUUUCUAAACAAUAAAAAAAAAAAAAAAAUAAAGAUACUCACCCUCAUCUUCUUCCUCCCCUCCCUCUCACUAAAACCCACUACCGCCACCACCUUCAACCCCCCCACCACCACCACCACCUCCACCGUCACCUUCAACCCACCACCACCUCCACUGUCACCUUCAAUCGACCCCACCCCCACCCUUCAAUUAACAACCACUCCAUCAAAAAACCCGCAGCACGCCUGCACUCCCUUUUGGUUCUGUUCACAACAACAAAAGCAAGUUCUUCAUCAUCCACUGUUCCCUUUUCUGUCCAGAUCUGUUUCAGCUCCGAUUUGCUACAGCUUGGUUCUUAUCGGUGUGCACAGGACAAUUAGUAGUUACCGCCGAUUCUCGAACUCAAUCUUCCAGCAAGUUACCCUUGCUUAAUCGCAGGUGGUGGUGGUGAGUUGAAGGUGACUGGAGGUGGUGGAUUGAAGGUGGUGGUGGUGGGUUGAACAUGGUGGCGGUCACGGUGGGUUUUAGAGAGAGUAGAGAGGUGAAGAAGAAGACGAGGGUGGACCAUUUUUUUUUUAUUGUUCAGUGGCAAUCUAGUCAUUUCGUAUACAUUUAACUGAGAAAAUUAAUAUGGGUUAGUGAUAAAGAUCA